UACGUAGGGUGCGAGCGUUAAUCGGAAUUACUGGGCGUAAAGCGCGCGCAGGUGGUUGAUUAAGUCUGAUGUGAAAGCCCACGGCUUAACCGUGGAGGGUCAUUGGAAACUGGUCGACUUGAGUGCAGGAGAGGGAAGUGGAAUUCCUAGUGUAGCGGUGAAAUGCGUAGAUAUUAGGAGGAACACCAGUGGCGAAGGCGACUUCCUGGACUGUAACUGACGCUGAGGCGCGAAAGCGUGGGGAGCGAACAGGAUUAGAUACCCGGGUAGUCCCU
rnacentral:rRNA from 1 species